rnacentral:rRNA from 1 species
CCUACGGGUGGCAUCAGUGGGGAAUAUUGGACAAUGGGGGGAACCCUGAUCCAGCGACGCCGCGUGAGUGAAGAAGGAUUUCGGUAUGUAAAGCUCUAUCAGCAGGGAAGAAAGAAAUGACGGUACCUGACUAAGAAGCCCCGGCUAAAUACGGGCCAGCAGCCGCGGUAAUACGGAGGGGGCAAGCGUUAUCCGGAUUUACUGGGUGUAAAGGGAUCGUAGAUGGCGAUGCAAGUCUGAAGUGAAAGGCGGGGGCCCAACCCCUAGACUGCUUUGGAAACUGUAUGGCUGGAGUGCAGGGGAGGUAAGUGGAAUUCGUAGUGUAGCGGUGAAAUGCGUAGAUAUUAGGAAGAACACCAAUGGCGAAGGCGGCUUACUGAACUGUCACUGACGUUGAGGCUCGAAAGCGUGGGGAGCAAACAGGAUUAGAUACCCGAGUAGUC